rnacentral:lncRNA from 1 species
CCGGUUCUCGAGAUACAAUUUUUCAAAAAUUGUGUAUAUGUUUUCAAGGGAAAUAACUCCUUAUAAGGGUUAACAACAAAAUGAUUGUAUAUGUUUAUUAUCAUUGCCAUCUGGUCUUGUACAUGUUGCCGUUUUCAAAUCGAUUCUAUCUUGAAUACUUUUUGAGAAAAAUGUAAAAGAAAUUGCUUCAAGGGGACGUAACUCUCAUAGGGAAUGAUGAAAUCCUUAGCAGCCUCAUAUGGUAACACAUCAUGAUGAGAUCUAACUUUUGUCCAAAUAAGGUCAUGAUAUCUUUAAAAACAACGAGGGGGGGGCAUGUCGAAAAAAAAAAACAAUAAAAGGGAGAUAACUUCUACAGGGGAUAAUAAAAUCCUACACAGCCUCGUCUGGUAAUACCUCAUGAUGAGAUCUACCGAUGGUCCAUAUUUGGUCUUGAUAACUCCAAUAGAAAC